GGUGAACGCUGGCGGUAGGCCUAACACAUGCAAGUCGAACGGCAGCACAGUAAGAGCUUGCUCUUACGGGUGGCGAGUGGCGGACGGGUGAGGAAUACAUCGGAAUCUACUUUUUCGUGGGGGAUAACGUAGGGAAACUUACGCUAAUACCGCAUACGACCUACGGGUGAAAGCAGGGGAUCUUCGGACCUUGCGCGAUUGAAUGAGCCGAUGUCGGAUUAGCUAGUUGGCGGGGUAAAGGCCCACCAAGGCGACGAUCCGUAGCUGGUCUGAGAGGAUGAUCGGCCGCACUGGAAGUGAGACACGGUCCAGACUCCUGCGGGAGGCAGCAGUGGGGAAUAUUGGACAAUGGGCGCAAGCCUGAUCCAGCCAUACCGCGUGGGUUAAGAAGGCCUUCGGGUUGUAAAGCCCUUUUGUUGGGAAAGAAAAGCAGCAGGUUAAUACCCCGCUGUUCUGACGGUACCCAAAGAAUAAGCACCGGCUAACUUCGUG
rnacentral:rRNA from 1 species